AUUGAACGCUGGCGGCAUGCCUAACACAUGCAAGUCGAACGUGUGGCGGGCGGGUGAGUACUGUCUGGUAACCUGCCCGCUGGCGGGGGAUAACUACUGGAUACGGUAGCUAAUCCCGCAUACCCUCUGCUUUUCCCCGAUUGGAUUAGCUUGUAGGUGAGGUAACGGCUCACCUAGGCGACGAUCCCUAGCUGGUCUGAGAGGAUGACCAGCAAAACUGGAACGGAGACACGGUCCAGACUCCUACGGGAGGCAGCAGUGGGGAAGAUUGCACAAGGGGCGAAAGCCUGAGGCAGAAAUGCCGCGUGUAUGAAGAAGGCCUUCGGGUUGUAAAGUACUUUCAGCGGGGAGGCGUUACCCGCAGAAGAAGCAACGGCUAACUCCGUGCCAGCCGCCGCGGUAAUAC
rnacentral:rRNA from 1 species